CAAUAGCGUAUAUUAAAGUUGUUGCUGUUAAAAAGCUCGUAGUUGGAUUUCUGGUGGGAGCGAUCGGUCUGGCGCUUAGCGCGAGUACUUGCAUCGUCUCCGGCCAUCCUUGGGGAGAGUCUGUCUGGCAUUAGGUUGUCGGGCAGAGGAUCCUCAUCGUUUACUGUGAAAAAAUUAGAGUGUUCAAAGCAGGCUUAUGCCGUUGAAUAUAUUAGCAUGGAAUAAUAAGAUAGGACUUUGGUACUAUUUUGUUGGUUUGCGCACCAAAGUAAUGAUUAAUAGGGACAGUUGGGGGUAUUCGUAUUCCGUUGUCAGAGGUGAAAUUCUUGGAUUUACGGAAGACGAACUACUGCGAAAGCAUUUACCAAGGAUGUUUUCAUUAA
rnacentral:rRNA from 1 species